CUAAAGAGAGAGAGGAUUAAUUAGGGCUGAUUCACAAGCAACUUAUCAUACCUACCAUCAUUGUUAGUUUCAGCCUGGCACUCUAUUUACAAAACUACUUGUGUUCUGUUUUUAGCCUUUUCAUCCUGGCAGGAAGGACUACCAUACCUUCUUCCUUCUGAAUCAGCUUGGUCUACAUGAUAAUUUUCUUGUCUCCAGACUUUCAGAAAGGGAAAAGAAAGCAAUUAUCUUCACUCAACUGACAUGAAUUUCAAGGCUCUUUAAGCUAUCCGUUCAACUGCUCGGCCUGUCCACACAGCUUUCCAAGACAACCAAAUUGAAGAUAGGAUGCUUAGUGCUGUACCAGUAUGUGUCUGAAUACCUACAAAAAAGGGCUGAUGAAACUCUACCAAGAGAUCACCGCUCUGUUUUGAAUCCUGUGAGUGGACAAGCACAGCCUCACAGAACUUGUGUAAAUGAAGAACAGGCAAUCUGAUGCAGAGCUAUGGCAGGCUACGUCGUCUGGAGUGGAAUAAGCAUCUCAGGAUCUCUCAUGGGAAAAAUGCCAGGGAGUGGAUCUUGACAGAGUAUGGUAUAAGCAUGGCUGAUUCACAGGCUCAUGGCCAGAGCCAGGAGAAGAAUGUGGAACUCCAUGCAAAGAAGGCUGUGGCACAAGGCUGGUCAUCCAGGAGCACGCACAGAACUGCAGGGAACAGAAAACAAUGCAAAGGGACUCUGGAGAGGCGGGGGAGCCCAUGGACACACAUGACUAGCUCAAUAACCAGUUUGUUACACGAAGCCAUCUAGCAUACCAUUCAAAUGAACAGCACACAGUUUGGCCAUCAGACUCCAGCCGGACCCCAACAACAAGGCGAACAAGAGAAAAGGACAACUUGUAUCUAUCUUAACAAGUUCGGCUCUCUCUGGGAUUGCGAGGCUCUGCUAACACGUCAAGUACGGCGGCAGCCCACAGCACCUGGUGCUACAGAGCACAGCUACGAGAACUCAGAACGAUUACAGCUCUGCCAUACUUCGCGAUUUCCUGCUCAGGACUGCUAAGUGAUUACUCACCCGAUACUAUAUGAGGAUUACUCAAAUGAAAGAACCGGACGAGAUGGGAAGUUUCACCUCAGCCCGCCUGGCUCCCCGCGCGACAGCGCCCGUUCUGGCAGCACCGCGCCGC